UUGCCCCUCUGUGCUUAAGGCAGAAAGUUUGGCUAGCUGUGAAAAAAAAGUUGCCUUUCUACGUUUUCUGGUUUUGAGUGUCAGAGCAUGUAAAUCAAAGCCUUGUGGAUAUUCUAAAUACCCUUCUCCUGUGCUUGCCUGAAGAGUCCAGGGUGGGUAUUAGCUACAAUUCAGAUGGACAGUAAAAGCUCAGCCCCUGCUGAAGCCUUAGGAGCACUUAGUCUGUACUUCUCCUGAGACGGUGAACUCCAGAAGUUCAUCGUUCCCCACAAAUCCCUAAUUUGGUGGAGAGAAGUCUUCAAAUCCAGGCCAGUGGGUGAUGGUAAACACACUGAAAUAGAAGCUGAGCAGCAGGUGUUGGUGUAUCUUAAAUUAGAAAAUUGAGAUUUAUUUGCUCAUAGUCUCAGAACAGCUUGUUUACUGUUUCUUUUUGGACUUAUAGUUUCAGGUGCUUGUUUCAGCAAUGAACAAAAACUCAACGGUGGAUCUUCUUAAGUAGCAUUUUGAAAUAACCUUGGCUCAGUGAGAAGCCAACAAAUUUUUAGCCUAAUAGGCUCGACACUUGGAAUAACUGAAUUGCAAGGGACUAACUUAUCUGGCAGAGGGCAAACAUUCCUCCCUGGAAUCUGCAUUUUCUAGCUGCAUGCCAUGCAUCUUUUUCUGAAUAGGUCAUCUACCAUAUGGAUAAAAUUCUGGAAGUUCACAAUGGAAUGCAAUGACGUCUCUUUGUCCUUGUCCUCACAGGAUGGAAGGAUGUCAUUCCAUGUUUUGGAUGGGCCGUGGUGCCUGCCUUUGUAAAGGCCAGGAUGCCUAGAGGAAGGAGGGUUAUGGCCUCUCCUCUUUCCUGGGUUAAGAAGUUAUGAUCCUCUUACAAGAAGUGGUCCCUCUGGUUUAUGGUCCUUCCAUUACUUCAUCAGAUACAGUGUAUGGGCUCAGAGCAGCUGUUUGCAGGCACCUAGCUUGGCCUGGCCUCAUCUAAAGCUCAUUUUUGAAGGAAUGAGUCUGGUCGAGACUGUACUGGGGUAUAAUCUUAACUGGAUUGUUCAGUACACUUGGGGGAAGGUCAUCUGUGACCAGUGUACUGCCUUGGCCAUCUCGAUCCUAGAGAGAUGCUGUCCUUACUCUGUGGUGUGUCCUUAUGGAAACUCUGGCUGCUCAGCCCUGGCAGCCCUUCCUUCACCUCCUCUCUUGGCUGACCUGUGUGCUCCUGGAAACAUUACAGGGGAAAGAGGGCCCUCUAAUGCCGAGAUUCCACUUGAAAACCACCGUCCUCCUUCAACGGUUUCCAAGGGAGAAGAUGCCUUUAUUGGACGUGAGGGUGACUCUUACUCGGAGGCUCACAGCACUCAGGCCGCCAAGAAGACUGCAACUUGACCUCUUGUGUGGGUGCUCCACGAUGAACGAUCAGGCUUGCAAAGCCCCAGGUUACCAGUGCAGGAUGUGGCCUCCUUGAGUUGCGUCCAGUGGAGGCUGAGGAAAUGAACCCCUGUCCCCCUUUGGCAGUGGAAAUGCCAAGUGGCUGUGGAAGUUAUUGUACACGGGUGUGGUCAGCAGCACCCAAACAGGAAUGUCUUCUUGAUAAAGGCUGCCUUAGAGACGGUCCAGAAAGCAGUGCAGUUUUGAUUCAGAAAGACCAAAGGAAAGCGCCUGACUCACUCAACCCCAAAACGGUGGCGGACUGGCUUCUCCCUCAGCGAGACUUGCAAAAUGGAAUCGUUCUGUGGUCUGUUGUUCCAAGUUUCAAAUUGAAAAUAAAAGCCCUAGUUUUUGUAAAGUCUUUUACCCUCCCCUGCCGCGUCCCCUCCCCUCACCCACCCCAUAUUUACAUACUUGUCCAUGGACUAACUCAGUUUUUGCAGGAGUUUUUCUUCCACUUGCCCGAACUGGACACUAACAGACAUUUCGGCUAUGAACUGCUCACAGCCUUCCUUGGUAACUUGCUUGCAGUACCUCAGGUCAAUAUGACAGAUAUUCCCACACCGUUUGAAGAAGGACAGGCACUGGUCAGUGACCUUAUUGCAGUCUGCAGGGAAGAGGACACUCGGUGAGGUGGAGGAAGCGUGCAGCCGAGGGCCCUCCCCCAACCCCCAGGCACUCAGCAACAGAGCAGCAACUGCCCUUGCUGGAAAGCUCUCUUCAAA